rnacentral:rRNA from 1 species
GACGAACGCUGGCGGCGUGCCUAAUACAUGCAAGUAGAACGCACAGUUUAUACCGUAGCUUGCUACACCAUAGACUGUGAGUUGCGAACGGGUGAGUAACGCGUAGGUAACCUGCCUGGUAGCGGGGGAUAACUAUUGGAAACGAUAGCUAAUACCGCAUAAUAUUGAUUAUUGCAUGAUAAUUGAUUGAAAGAUGCUAUUGCAUCACUACCAGAUGGACCUGCGUUGUAUUAGCUAGUAGGUGAGGUAACGGCUCACCUAGGCGACGAUACAUAGCCGACCUGGGAGGGUGGUCGGCCACACUGGGACUGGGACACGGCCCAGACUCCUACGGGAGGCAGCAGUAGGGAAUCUUCGGCAAUGGACGAAAGUCUGACCGAGCAACGCCGCGUGAGCGAAGAAAGUUGUCGGAUCGUAAAGCUCUGUUGUAAGGGAAGAACGGGUGUGAGAGUGGAAAGUUCACACUGUGACGGUAUCUUACCAGAAAGGGACGGCUAACUACGUG